GAUGAACGCUGGCGGCGUGCCUAAUACAUGCAAGUAGAACGCUGAAGGAGGAGCUUGCUCUUCUGGAUGAGUUGCGAACGGGUGAGUAACGCGUAGGUAACCUGCCCGGUAGCGGGGGAUAACUAUUGGAAACGAUAGCUAAUACCGCAUGACAACAGUUAUUGCAUGAUAACUGUUUAAAAGGGGCAACUGCUCCACUACCAGAUGGACCUGCGUUGUAUUAGCUAGUUGGUGAGGUAACGGCUCACCAAGGCGACGAUACAUAGCCGACCUGAGAGGGGGAUCGGCCACACUGGGACUGAGACACGGCCCAGACUCCUACGGGAGGCAGCAGUAGGGAAUCUUCGGCAAUGGACGGAAGUCUGACCGAGCAACGCCGCGUGAGUGAAGAAGGUUUUCGGAUCGUAAAGCUCUGUUGUAAGAGAAGAACGAGUGUGAGAGUGGAAAGUUCACACUGUGACGGUAUCUUACCAGAAAGGGACGGCUAACUACGUG
rnacentral:rRNA from 1 species